rnacentral:rRNA from 1 species
AGAGUUUGAUCAUGGCUCAGGACGAACGCUGGCGGCGUGCUUAACACAUGCAAGUCGAACGGAAAGGCCCUGCUUUUGUGGGGUGCUCGAGUGGCGAACGGGUGAGUAACACGUGAGUAACCUGCCCUUGACUUUGGGAUAACUUCAGGAAACUGGGGCUAAUACCGGAUAGGAGCUCCUGCUGCAUGGUGGGGGUUGGAAAGUUUCGGCGGUUGGGGAUGGACUCGCGGCUUAUCAGCUUGUUGGUGGGGUAGUGGCUUACCAAGGCUUUGACGGGUAGCCGGCCUGAGAGGGUGACCGGCCACAUUGGGACUGAGAUACGGCCCAGACUCCUACGGGAGGCAGCAGUGGGGAAUAUUGCACAAUGGGCGGAAGCCUGAUGCAGCAACGCCGCGUGCGGGAUGACGGCCUUCGGGUUGUAAACCGCUUUCGCCUGUGACGAAGCGUGAGUGACGGUAAUGGGUAAAGAAGCACCGGCUAACUACGUGCCAGCAGCCGCGGUGAUACGUAGGGUGCGAGCGUUGUCCGGAUUUAUUGGGCGUAAAGGGCUCGUAGGUGGUUGAUCGCGUCGGAAGUGUAAUCUUGGGGCUUAACCCUGAGCGUGCUUUCGAUACGGGUUGACUUGAGGAAGGUAGGGGAGAAUGGAAUUCCUGGUGGAGCGGUGGAAUGCGCAGAUAUCAGGAGGAACACCAGUGGCGAAGGCGGUUCUCUGGGCCUUUCCUGACGCUGAGGAGCGAAAGCGUGGGGAGCGAACAGGCUUAGAUACCCUGGUAGUCCACGCUGUAAACGGUGGGUACUAGGUGUGGGGUCCAUUCCACGGGUUCCGCGCCGUAGCUAACGCUUUAAGUACCCCGCCUGGGGAGUACGGCCCGCAAGGCUAAAACUCAAAGGAAUUGACGGGGCCCCGCACAAGCGGCGGAGCAUGCGGAUUAAUUCGAUGCAACGCGUAGAACCUUACCUGGGUUUGACAUGGAUCGGGAGUGCUCAGAGAUGGGUGUGCCCUCUUUUGGGGUCGGUUCACAGGUGGUGCAUGGCUGUCGUCAGCUCGUGUCGUGAGAUGUUGGGUUAAGUCCCGCAACGAGCGCAACCCUUGUUCACUGUUGCCAGCACGUUAUGGUGGGGACUCAGUGGAGACCGCCGGGGUCAACUCGGAGGAAGGUGGGGAUGACGUCAAGUCAUCAUGCCCCUUAUGUCCAGGGCUUCACGCAUGCUACAAUGGCUGGUACAGAGAGUGGCGAGCCUGUGAGGGUGAGCGAAUCUCGGAAAGCCGGUCUCAGUUCGGAUUGGGGUCUGCAACUCGACCUCAUGAAGUUGGAGUCGCUAGUAAUCGCAGAUCAGCAACGCUGCGGUGAAUACGUUCCCGGGGCUUGUACACACCGCCCGUCAAGUCAUGAAAGUUGGUAACACCCGAAGCCGGUGGCCUAACCGUUGUGGGGGAGCCGUCGAAGGUGGGACUGGUGAUUAGGACUAAGUCGUAACAAGGUAUCCGUA